CCUACGGGAGGCAGCAGUGGGGAAUAUUGGACAAUGGGCGAAAGCCUGAUCCAGCCAUGCCGCGUGUGUGAAGAAGGCCUUCGGGUUGUAAAGCACUUUCAGUGGGGAAGAAAGCCUUGGGGCUAAUACCCUCGAGGAAGGACAUCACCCACAGAAGAAGCACCGGCUAACUCCGUGCCAGCAGCCGCGGUAAUACGGAGGGUGCGAGCGUUAAUCGGAAUUACUGGGCGUAAAGCGCGCGUAGGCGGUCUGAUAAGCCGGUUGUGAAAGCCCCGGGCUCAACCUGGGAACGGCAUCCGGAACUGUGAGGCUAGGGUGCAGGAGAGGAAGGUAGAAUUCCCGGUGUAGCGGUGAAAUGCGUAGAGAUCGGGAGGAAUACCAGUGGCGAAGGCGGCCUUCUGGACUGACACUGACGCUGAGGUGCGAAAGCGUGGGUAGCAAACAGGAUUAGAUACCCGAGUAGUC
rnacentral:rRNA from 1 species